UACAGAGGGGGCAAGCGUUGUUCGGAAUUACUGGGCGUAAAGUGUGCGCAGGCGGCCGCGCAAGUCGAGUGUGAAAUCCCCGAGCUUAACUUGGGAAUUGCGCUCGAAACUACGUGGCUGGAGUGUGGCAGAGGAAGGUGGAAUUCCACGUGUAGCGGUGAAAUGCGUAGAUAUGUGGAGGAACACCGAUGGCGAAGGCAGCCUUCUGGGCCUGCACUGACGCUCAUGCACGAAAGCGUGGGGAGCAAACAGG
rnacentral:rRNA from 1 species